CCUACGGGAGGCAGCAGUGGGGAAUAUUGCACAAUGGGGGAAACCCUGAUGCAGCGACGCCGCGUGAGUGAAGAAGUAAUUCGUUACGUAAAGCUCUAUCAGCAGGGAAGAAAAUGACGGUACCUGUGUAAGAAGCCCCGGCUAACUACGGGCCAGCAGCCGCGGUGAGACGUAGGGGGCAAGCGUUAUCCGGAUGUACUGGGUGCAAAGGGAGCGUAGACGGGGCGCCAAGUCUGGAGUGAAAUGCCGCAGCUCAACUGCGGAACUGCUUUGGAAACUGGCGGACUAGAGUGCGGGAGGGGUAAGCGGAAUUCCUAGUGUAGCGGUGAAAGGCGUAGAUAUUGGGAGGAACACCGGUGGCGAAGGCGGCGUACUGGACCGAAACUGACGUUGAGGCUCGAAAGCGUGGGGAGCAAACAGGAUUAGAGACCCCUGUAGUC
rnacentral:rRNA from 1 species